rnacentral:misc_RNA from 1 species
GCAGCCCAUAGCUCGCCAUUAGCGAUCUGAUUCUCUCUACACCCAGAAACGAAAUACGUCAAAUUCCACAAAACCCAUAAAGAAAGUGGAAUUUUUUUCUUAUAAUCUCUCCCUCUCCAGGAUAGUUGAAGGAAGAGAAAAGUUAUGGCGCUUUCCCGGUUUAGAAAUCCUGUGAUCUCACGCGCCCCUUCUCUUUUCAGAGCUCGCUUUCUUCCCUCCACCUACCAUUCCUCCUCUGGAUCCUUAGCUCGCUGUUCCAGUGGGCAAAACUCUUCUGUGGAUGGCAACUGCUCUCUGCUAAGGCUGGCUUCCUCAUAUGGAGUACAUGAUAGUUCUUGGAAGCUCAAGUUGCGAACUGGUUUUCGUCAUUUCUCAUCUACAGACCUUCCACCUCAUGCAGUCAUUGGAAUGCCAGCUUUAUCUCCUACAAUGACUCAAGGUAACAUAGCAA